CUUGGAUGUAAGGAAGGGUCGUGAGAAAAUACGCAGGAAGAGAUACCCCGUGGACAUGUUUCCCUUGGAAAGUGGAUGGAACCCUCUGAGCCAUGAUUCCGCCGGAAUUAAGCAGUGGCGGGCACUGGCCUGGCAGGCGGCUUCUACUGCCUUGGAUUUGCACCUCUAAGGGGUCACAGGGGCCACCCCCGAAGCAAGACAAAGUGUGAUCAUGAACAGGCCCUCGGGGGGCCAGAAGAAGGAACGGCUCCAGUGAUGAAGGCUGAACGCCAGCUCUCUCCCCAUUGUUCUCCCGGACCAGGAGAGGGCUGCUCGGCAGGGCUGGGUUUAAAAACCUUCCAUGCAACUUACGAAGGCAUCCACAGUGACUUCUGCUGCUGUGGUACGUUCUGCCCUCCCCUCCUCCCCGCCCCAUCCUGUUCUCGGCUACAAGUUAUUUAUAUGUACAGUGUCAUCUGAACGUGCAUGGGCCUAUCCCAGGACAUCACACACAAAGAGGCUGCGGUGAACCCAAGCCGCCGGGCCGGCCUGUGGCUCAGUGUCUGUUUCAGAAGUCCCGGCCCCAGGCAGCUCUCCUGAACAGAGCCACUGGAACUCAGGAGGGUCAGGACCACAGCCCAAACAACUGUGACCGAAAACACCCUACAGGGCUUGAGAACUAAAAAAUAAGGAGGGAUCUGGGCAGCCGAGCUGCCUCCUAAAGAAGCCACAUCAUAGAGAAAACUGCUUGCUCUAUCUAUGAGACGGAGGCGGCCGGGGUGUCCUGCCAGCAGACACGGGUCUGUCCAUCACCGGCCACCGCGCUGCCUCUGUCCUUCACUCCCAUUUAAGGGAAAACGAUAUCUCUUCAUCUUUCUGCCCUGGACAUUGGAAAUCAGCGGUGAGAACAGUGCUCUUGCUACAAAAUGCUCAGGUUCUAGAAUGCUCCCAUCUUUCCUUCCAUUCCACAUGGAGUUUAUCCAAAGCACAAAGGCCAGUCAUGGCACUGACAUCCGUGGUGCCCGCCCACCGGCGAGUGGGAAACAGAAGGCUGUCCUCAGAGGACCGUGACUGUGAGCCUGCAGCUGCUUGUGGGUGGGGCCAGCCCGCAGCAACUCCUGGAGGCCUCGGGCUUCUUGCUGCUGCAUUUCUGUGACAUGUGGAGGGAGGAUCGUUUUGACACCUGCCUGGGAAGUUUCAAAGGAGAUGGCCUCUGGGCAGGGGUUUUAAACUGAAGGGCACCACACAGAUCCAGAUGUGAACUGUGGCUGUUGUUUGCAAUUGAAGCAGAGAUGCAGAGGAUGGAACAGGAGUGCUGGCCACGCUGCUCUAUGGCCUUGGCCCAGCCAAGACCCCCAGUCAAUGGGGCUACGGGACCCCCGCUACACAGGGACCUGGGAACCACCUUUGCCGCGGUUGACCGCUGGGCCCGCCAUGCACCGCCCACACCUGGCUGUGCCUGGAGACUGAGAGCAGGGGGUGAUGGUGGGCCUGGAAGAGUCUCUCCCUUUUGCAAACGCCAGCCACAGAGGUUUAUUUUUCUCCCUGAGAGAAGGAAGAGUGAAGGCUGAGACUGAGACAGAAGGAGAAGACUUAGAAGCCAGUGAGCCCGGAGCCACGAGACGCGCUCAGAGGACACGGGGCCUCGGGGAAACCGGGCACGGGCAGGGGUUGGUCUUGGCUUCCCUGCAACAUUGCCGCGAGCUCGGGUGCCGUCUCCACUCGCAGGCUGGCCUGUCCUCUGCAGCCAUGAGCUCAGGCACCGUCUCCAUUCAUAGGCCAGCCUGUUCUCUGCAGCCUGAGGUCCCUGUGGUGCCAACAUCCAGAUGCUGAGAUAAUUCUGCCAGGGUGUUGGCUGAUCGGUGAUUGGUGGUUGGCUGUUCUGUGAGUUCUGCAUUGAUCUUGCUGGCUGAGCGUCCAAUGCGGAGGGGCAGGUGCUGUUAGGGUCUCCACUCCCAUCCCUCUCCCCAGGACUCAUCACCCACUGCAACCGUAAGCUGCUAGGGGCUCACAGCCGUGAGUCUUUGGAACGGGUGGUCCCACCUGGCAUGCAGCUCAGGCUACCAGCCCCAGGACCCUGCUGCUGCUCCCCUCCCGCCCACAUCUUGGCUUAGCCGUCUUCCCUGGCUGCCAGCCCCUUCCCCUGGUCUUAGUUGGCUUGGGCCACUAAACUGAAAUAGCACACCCUGAGGCCUUCAACAGCAGACCUGAUUUCUCACCAUCUGGAGGCUGGAGGUCCAGGAUCCAGGCCCCCAAGGCUGCUUUCUCCCCCACUCCCCCACCCACCUUCCAGGACACGCGGACUCCACCCUCUUGCUGCCCUGUCUCAGGGCUGUCCCUCUGGGCAAGCAGGCCCCUGGCAUCCCCCUGUGUCCUCUCCUCCUGUUCUUAUAAGGACACCAGUCAUACUGGAUCUGGGCCCACCCUAGUGACCUCAUUUACCUUAAUCACCUCUGAAAGACCUUGUCUCAACAACAGCCGCAUUCUGGGGCACUGAGGGUUAGGGCUUUAACAUGGGAAUUUGAGGGAUGCAAUUCACCCCAUAAAACCCAGACCAUUCCCCCAAUAAAUCACUUUCACAAGAGCUCUUCUCUCAGGCUUCGCUUCUGGGGGAUCCCCCUUGAGACGGCUCCAUCUAGCUUCCUGCUUCUCAAAGAACAGAGGGGAGAGCCCUGGUGCGAAGGUAACGGGUGGCCUUGGGGGCCUGCGGAUAAGCUGCUGGCACUGCCAGGGGACAGGCUGAGCUGAAAGCCAGGAGGAGGG
rnacentral:lncRNA from 1 species